rnacentral:tRNA from 1 species
UGGCUCAGUGGAUAGAGCCUCAGCCUGCAGACUGAAGCUCCCAGGUUCAAUUCCUGG